rnacentral:rRNA from 1 species
UACAGAGGGUGCAAGCGUUAAUCGGAAUUACUGGGCGUAAAGCGCGCGUAGGCGGCUUGACAAGUCGAGUGUGAAAUCCCCGGGCUUAACCUGGGAGCUGCAUCCGAAACUGUCUUGCUAGAGUAUGGGAGAGGGAAGUGGAAUUUCAGGUGUAGCGGUGAAAUGCGCAGAUAUCGGGAGGAACACCGGUGGCGAAGGCGGUUCUCUGGGCCUGUACUGACGCUAAGGAGCGAAAGCGUGGGGAGCAAACAGG